UCCAGAGAACAUAUAGGGGGCAGAUGAGU
rnacentral:piRNA from 1 species